UGGGGAAUAUUGGACAAUGGGCGAAAGCCUGAUCCAGCCAUGCCGCGUGUGUGAAGAAGGUCUUCGGAUUGUAAAGCACUUUAAGUUGGGAGGAAGGGCAUUAACCUAAUACGUUAGUGUUUUGACGUUACCGACAGAAUAAGCACCGGCUAACUCUGUGCCAGCAGCCGCGGUAAUACAGAGGGUGCAAGCGUUAAUCGGAAUUACUGGGCGUAAAGCGCGCGUAGGUGGUUUGUUAAGUUGGAUGUGAAAGCCCCGGGCUCAACCUGGGAACUGCAUCCAAAACUGGCAAGCUAGAGUACGGUAGAGGGUGGUGGAAUUUCCUGUGUAGCGGUGAAAUGCGUAGAUAUAGGAAGGAACACCAGUGGCGAAGGCGGCCCCCUGGACAAAGACUGACGCUCAGGUGCGAAAGCGUGGGGAGCAAACA
rnacentral:rRNA from 1 species